rnacentral:rRNA from 1 species
AGAGUUUGAUCCUGGCUCAGGAUGAACGCUGGCGGCGUGCCUAACACAUGCAAGUCGAACGGGGUAAUUUCUUCGGAGGUUACUUAGUGGCGAACGGGUGAGUAACGCGUGAGAAACCUGCCUUUCAGUGGGGGACAACAGUUGGAAACGACUGCUAAUACCGCAUAAUGUUAUUUGGGGGCAUCCCUGAAUAACCAAAGAUUUAUUGCUGAAAGAUGGUCUCGCGUCUGAUUAGCUAGAUGGCGGGGUAACGGCCCACCAUGGCGACGAUCAGUAGCCGGUCUGAGAGGAUGAACGGCCACAUUGGGACUGAGAUACGGCCCAGACUCCUACGGGAGGCAGCAGUGGGGAAUAUUGGGCAAUGGGGGAAACCCUGACCCAGCAACGCCGCGUGAAGGAAGAAGGCUUUCGGGUUGUAAACUUCUUUUAGCAGGGACGAAGGACGUGACGGUACCUGCAGAAAAAGCAACGGCUAACUACGUGCCAGCAGCCGCGGUAAUACGUAGGUUGCAAGCGUUAUCCGGAAUUACUGGGUGUAAAGGGAGUGUAGGCGGGAUUGUAAGUCAGAUGUGAAAACUAUGGGCUCAACUCAUAGACUGCAUUUGAAACUGCGAUUCUUGAGUGAAGUAGAGGUAAGCGGAAUUCCUAGUGUAGCGGUGAAAUGCGUAGAUAUUAGGAGGAACAUCAGUGGCGAAGGCGGCUUACUGGGCUUUAACUGACGCUGAGGCUCGAAAGCGUGGGGAGCAAACAGGAUUAGAUACCCUGGUAGUCCACGCUGUAAACGAUGAUUACUAGGUGGGGGGGGACUGACCCCUUCCGUGCCGGAGCAAACGCAAU